AUUGAACGCUGGCGGCAUGCCUUACACAUGCAAGUCGAACGGUAACAGGUCUUCGGAUGCUGACGAGUGGCGAACGGGUGAGUAAUACAUCGGAACGUGCCUAGUAGUGGGGGAUAACUACUCGAAAGAGUGGCUAAUACCGCAUGAGAUCUACGGAUGAAAGCAGGGGAUCGCAAGACCUUGUGCUACUAGAGCGGCCGAUGGCAGAUUAGGUAGUUGGUGGGAUAAAAGCUUACCAAGCCGACGAUCUGUAGCUGGCCUGAGAGGACGAUCAGCCACACUGGGACUGAGACACGGCCCAGACUCCUACGGGAGGCAGCAGUGGGGAAUUUUGGACAAUGGACGCAAGCCUGAUCCAGCAAUGCCGCGUGCAGGAUGAAGGCCUUCGGGUUGUAAACUGCUUUUGUACGGAACGAAAAGCCCUGGGUUAAUACCCUGGGGUCAUGACGGUACCGUAAGAAUAAGCACCGGCUAACUACGUGCCAGCCGCCGCCGUAAAAC
rnacentral:rRNA from 1 species